rnacentral:rRNA from 1 species
GAUGAACGCUGGCGGCGUGCUUAACACAUGCAAGUCGAACGAGGAAUACCGAUGAAGUUUUCGGAUGGAUUCAGUAUUCCGAGUGGCGGACGGGUGAGUAACGCGUGGGUAACCUGCCCUGUACAGGGGGAUAACAGUUGGAAACGACUGUUAAUACCGCAUAAGACCACAGCACCGCAUGGUGCAGGGGUAAAAACUCCGGUGGUACAGGAUGGACCCGCGUCCAAUUAGCUAGUUGGUGAGGUAACGGCCCACCAAGGCGACGAUUGGUAGCCGAUCUGAGAGGAUGACCGGCCACAUUGGGACUGAGACACGGCCCAAACUCC